UUCUAUUAUCAUGACUAAUUAUCCAUUUGGGUCAAAUAGUUCUAAGUCCUUCAAUGCCUAUCCAAGAGGUGACUUUGAUAUUGAAUCAGAUAAUAUCAAAAGAACCAAAAGGUUUUCACUAUAUGAGCAUCACUAUAGGAUGCUGAGAAAUUAUAGGAACCUUGAUGAGGGGCCCAUUAAGUACUAUAUGUAUGCCAAGCUUAAGAAUCUUGUAAUGGUUGUUGGGUAUUCAAUUUAUACUAGCAGUAGUUGUAAAAAAGUUGAUAAUGAGUAUUCUUGGUUUUUGGAGCCAUUGAAUGGAUUAUGUAAUAUGGCUUCUUCAAUUAUGUGAUCAUUUUAUGGUUUAUGUAAUAUUGCUUCUUGAAUUCAUCUGUUAUCAAUGUAUGUAAUGUGUAUAUAUAAUAGGAUUUAUUAGUAAAUAUUGAUUUCUUUUUAAAAUUGUAACAACCCAUUUUCAGUGAAAUAAAAUAGUGGUUUUGGGACCACAAAUCCAAUGAGAAAA